CCUACGGGAGGCAGCAGUAGGGAAUCUUCCGCAAUGGACGAAAGUCUGACGGAGCAACGCCGCGUGAGCGAUGAAGGCCUUCGGGUCGUAAAGCUCUGUUGUCAGGGAAGAACAAGUACCGGAGUAACUGCCGGUACCUUGACGGUACCUGACCAGAAAGCCACGGCUAACUACGUGCCAGCAGCCGCGGUAAUACGUAGGUGGCAAGCGUUGUCCGGAAUUAUUGGGCGUAAAGCGCGCGCAGGCGGUCCUUUAAGUCUGAUGUGAAAGCCCACGGCUCAACCGUGGAGGGUCAUUGGAAACUGGGGGACUUGAGUGCAGAAGAGGAAAGCGGAAUUCCACGUGUAGCGGUGAAAUGCGUAGAGAUGUGGAGGAACACCAGUGGCGAAGGCGGCUUUCUGGUCUGUAACUGACGCUGAGGCGCGAAAGCGUGGGGAGCAAACAGGAUUAGAUACCCUGGUAGUCCACGCCGUAAACGAUGAGUGCUAAGUGUUAGGGGGUUUCCGCCCCUUAGUGCUGCAGCUAACGCAUUAAGCACUCCGCCUGGGGAGUACGGCCGCAAGGCUGAAACUCAAAGGAAUUGACGG
rnacentral:rRNA from 1 species